GACGAACGCUGGCGGCGUGCUUAACACAUGCAAGUCGAACGGAAAGGCCCUGCUUUUGUGGGGUGCUCGAGUGGCGAACGGGUGAGUAACACGUGAGUAGCCUGCCCUUGACUUUGGGAUAACUUCAGGAAACUGGGGCUAAUACCGGAUAGGAGCUCCUGCUGCAUGGUGGGGGUUGGAAAGUUUCGGCGGUUGGGGAUGGACUCGCGGCUUAUCAGCUUGUUGGUGGGGUAGUGGCUUACCAAGGCUUUGACGGGUAGCCGGCCUGAGAGGGUGACUGGCCACAUUGGGACUGAGAUACGGCCCAGACUCCUACGGGAGGCAGCAGUGGGGAAUAUUGCACAAUGGGCGGAAGCCUGAUGCAGCAACGCCGCGUGCGGGAUGACGACCUUCGGGUUGUAAACCGCUUUCGCCUGUGACGAAGCGUGAGUGACGGUAAUGGGUAAAGAAGCACCGGCUAACUACGUG
rnacentral:rRNA from 1 species